UCUCUAGGAGUGGCGAGGAUGGACAGGAUUAAGAACGAGCACAUCAGAGGGACAGCUCAGGUUGGCUGUUUUGGGGACAAAGUCAGAGAGACUAGAUUGAGAUGGAUGUUGGAGAUGGAGCUGCCAGGUAAGAGGUCAAGAGGAAGGACAAAGAGGAGAUAUAUGGAUGUGUGG